CCCCCUUGGCAAUGGGCAAAGAGACAACUUGGUGGUGGUAUUGAUCUUACAUUAGUCAGGGGCAGAGCGGAUAUCAGUCCUUUGUUUACACUAGCUUGAUGGCUGGUUUGGUAGAUCAAGCUGUUCUAUGCCUAGGUCACAUCA
rnacentral:snoRNA from 1 species